rnacentral:misc_RNA from 1 species
UACCUAUUGCUCUACAAGUCUACCUAUAACUUUCACAAAACAAGAUAUAUAUUAAAGAAUAUACAGAAAUCUUGAAACCAAAACAUAAUUUUAAAGAUUAUAGCAACUGCAGGUAGUUGCUGUUAUCAAUAUCUUUCAUGGGUGUCAUUUAUCUUGGGGGGAUGCUAGGAGCAAACCCACUAACAAGGUCGCUGCCAGAAACAUCGGACGACACAUAAGGAUGCUUCACCAUAGAUGAUGAAGAUGGUGAACUAACUAACUUUUCAGGAUCACUGGUCACUUUAUCUGUUGUUUUCGUGUCAGACUCUGGCAUCAUCAGCCAUAUAGUUUCAAGUUCACGAACCACAUCCGCCAUUGAAGGUCUUGAAUCUGUCUCAUCCUCACAACACUUAAUGGCUAAAUUCAAGAACUUCUCCACACAGUCAGAAGGAUAAGAACCCAUACGUCCAUCAAUGGCCGAGAAUAUCAUACCAGAUUGGUAUGAAACAUUGACCUCUCGAACAAUGUUUUUCCCAUGUGAGAUCGGUUGCAUCCCCGUCAAGAGCUCCAGAAAUACAACACCAAGGCUAUAAACAUCACUCUUAUCGGUCAAUUUAUGUGUUAGAAAAUACUCUGGAUCAAGGUAACCUGGAGUACCCUUCACUACUGUGGACACAUGAGCUGGCACAGCCCCUUCAAUAUCUGGUACUGGGGCAAGUCUUGAAAGUCCAAAAUCAGCAACCUUUGCAUUAUAAUUAGAGUCGAGUAAUAUGUUGCUUGCCUUUAUAUCUCGGUGGAAAAUUGGAGGAUCAGCAUCCUUAUGUAGGUAGAGGAUGCCUUUUGCUGAACCCAAGGCAAUUCUCACUCUCAAUGCAAAACUCAAGGGUUCUUUAGACUUGGCAGAAAGAUGGUCUCUAAGGGUGCCAUUUGACAUAAACUCAUAAACCAACAUCUGUUCACCUUCUUCAUCACAGUAUCCAACCAAAGAAACAAGAUUCCUAUGAUGUAGCCUUGACAACAAUUCUAUUUCUGUUAAGAACUCCUUCUCACCCUGUAAAGAAUGCUCCUGAGCACGUUUGAUGGCCACAACUGUGCCAUCAGCCAGGAUGCCCUUAUAAACUAUUCCAUAUCCUCCUUGACCAACUUGAGUGGAGCUACUAAAAUUAUUUGUAGCCAAGGCCAUUUCAGCAUAAGUGAAAUCCUUGAUGCCAUCAAUUUUUAGCAAGGCUUUAGAUGCAUGACGUCUUCUUGAAUUUGCACGGUAGUUUCUCAGACGGUAGUUCCUCAAAUACAUCCUUAUGAUAAGAAGCGAAACAAUUGAACAUAAUGCAACUGUACCGGCAAUGGCGCCCAAUACUAUGCCAGCCAAGGCACCUUUGCUUGUACCCGAUGAUGAUGGUGAGGUAACAAACACUGUGAAAUCAUGAGAACCAUAAGAUAAUUAUGCAACAAGUUUAUCACAUACUUGUGUUGGAGAAAGAGUACCAGAUGCAUAACUUACAACUUUAUUCCUCGACACGUCAAAACUCAUUUUCAAAAUUAACUUUGUGAUAGCUCAGUUUCAUUAUAGUGUACAGUCUGAAGCCUAAUGCUACUAUGCAGCAACAGAACACUGCUAUAGCAAAGGCAUGACAUGCAUGGACAAGUUGAAGCGCAAAUGACACCAAAUAGAUGUUAUUAGCUACAAACAUAAGCAAAAGAAUAAGGUCAAACUUCAGCUACUGGCUAAUAGAAUAAGUACUGGUAGGUCUUCACAAUUCUUGAGCAUAUGAAAUAUGUCUACCGCCAUCCUAAAUGUUCUAUUUAAUCACUUGAAAAAAUCAGGAAAACAAGACCCCCAAGUGCAAAUAAUUUCACAUUUUCUAACAGGUGGAAUACACACAUAGGUUCAAAUAAAAUAGGCAUUAUUUUCAUGAUAGUAAAUGUUGAGACAAACCAUUAUUAUAAGGGAAGUACAAAAGUUCGCAAGGCCCAAAUGUUUCAUUAUAAUGAAUGUCCCAUCCAGUGAACUUGCUCAUGAUACGCAGAACCUCACUUGCAUUGAACACAUGAGAACUCUUGUUGCUAGCAUCAUGGACAGGAAAUAACUGCAGCUGCAUCUUCAAUCGAGGUCCUUCCUCCCAUUGGAAGUUCUCAAUGUAUAGCUGAUAAAGUUCCAAAUUGAGACCAGAGGUCAUAUGCUGUUUAAAUGCAUCUCUGUAGGGUAGAAAAUAGGAGAAUCCAGGACUUUUCAAUCGAUAACCAACGAUCAGAGGGGCAGCACAAAAACAAUCUACAGGAGAUGUUGGGGAAUAUACAGAAGGACAUUCUUGAGUGGAACAGUUAUCAGCAAAGUUUGUCAAACCCUGCUUUUCAACAUCCUCAUUUUGAGAUCCACAAAAUUGGACCAGGUUGGAAUUUGAACAUACAGGGUUCCCUUGAAGCCAGAGUGAGACAUUCUGAGGGAGACUAAUAUUGCCAUUGCCAGAAAUAUUUGUCAGUCUAUUGUUCUCAAAAUCCAAUUUAAGUCUUGCAGAUGCAUUCAGAGUCCGACUUUGCCAAAGGGUAGAUGAAAUGGAGCCAUUCAGUGAAUUGUUUGCAACUGACAAUUUCUGAAGACGAGGCAGGCCUGAAAAGCUGGCAGGGAUACUUCCAGUAAGAUCAUUGUUGGAUAAAUCAAUGGUUGUAAUAUUCUCAGAAAGCCUUUCAGAAGGUAUGGAUCCAUUUAGCUGGUUUGUACUGAGGUCUCUGAAAAUUGCGUCAAAAUUUGCUAGUGAAAAGAAGAGCCAGCAAAGAUAGAUAGCCAAGGUUUGGUAUCCUGCUCAGGUCAGGGAUUGGACCUUGCAAACUGCAGUUUCUGAGACUCAAUUUCAAUAGUUUAGUCAUGUUGCCAUAAGAAUCUGGAAUUGUAGCCCCAUCAAAGUUGUUGUUAUCAAGUUGACUGCAAAAGACAAAAAACAAAUCAAGGCAAAAUAAAAUAGUUAGAAGAGAAUCUACAAAGAUAGGAUCUAUUAUGGGGAAACUGCCAUAAGGAAACAUGAAAUCCUGCUUCAUCUCUGGGUAAGUAGGGAAGCCAUACAGUAUUUGUAAUUUUGGCAAUUCAGAAAGCUGUGGUGGAAGAUAUCCAGAUAAGUUGUUGUUGUCUAGAAGGCUGCAAACACAUUAACAUAUGAGCAAAGUAUGAGAGCAGAACAAGAAAUGGUAGAAUUAAACUGAACUGAAGAUGUUCACAGAUCCCACUGUAGGUAAAAAUAAAUGAUGCACUUCUCACAUUAAUCUAGCCAAUUGCCAACUUACAAGUGAACAAGACUUGGUAAUCUGGAUAGUGCGGGUGGUAUUUGCCCGCUAAUUGAAUUGUUAUUCAUGUGAAAGUGCUUUGUCAUGUUCAAGUAUGCAAAUGACACAGGGAUUGAUCCUGAUAUAUGGUUCUCGUCAAUCUGCAUUCUGUCCAAGUUUGGAAGAUGUCCAAGCUCUUCAGGCAAGGGACCUGUUAAUUGGUUUCCAUUCAGAAGCAAAAGUUCCAAAGAUUCAAUUUCUCCUAUCUCCUUUGGUAUACUCCCACUUAUGUUGUUCCACAUAAAAUCCAAUAUUUCCAUAUAAGAUAAGAGACCAAGUGACGGUGAUAAAGUUCCAGACAGAUUCAAAUUAAGUAGUUGCCUGCAAAGAAAAUAAAUGUAAAGAACAUUUCGUUACAAUUUUCUCAUUUAAAAAAAAGGCCCUGAAGAUACCUACAUUCAGUUUGUAGACAAGUGUGCUUGAAACUAUGUCUAAUUAUCAGAGUUUGUGAGUCGUGACUAGAAUACAGCUGCUAGACACUGCUUGUCGAAAGUAGCAGUAAACUUUGAAAGCAACAAUAAAUCAAUCAUAUUAAUUGUACCAAAGAAAAAAAAGAAGUCAUUAUAGAUUCUCAAAUUCAUUAAAAUUUGAUGAUCUAUUUUGAAAAAUUGGUCAAUAUUCAGCACAUAGCUUCUACACUUUAAGGAUGAUUAUGUUGAGUAUUAAAUAAACUGAAAAAAAUUGAGAAAGUUUGUUCUUUGCAACAAACUAAAAUAGAAUUGUUUGUAACCAAAAGAAAAAAGCAACCUAACAUGCUCUUGAAAGGAAAAGGUACAAAAUCAUACAGUUCUCUAACAUGCAGAUAGCCAUCAUCCUUUGUUUCAUUGAAGCACAAAACUCCAGUCCAAUUUGAUGUGCAUGGGUCUCCACGAUUCCAAUUGCUCAAAUUUUUGUUGAUAUCAAUCAAACUACUCUUUAUGUCUUGCAGUGCACUCACUUCUACAGGACUAGUAAUGGCAUCUUGUGCUUCAAUGAGGAGAGAAGACCAAAACAGCCACAUAAUCAAAACAGUUCCAAAAGUGGAAAUUCUUGACAUGGACAGCCCAAGAAUGGAAAAACCACCAGAAUUCUGAAACAUCU